rnacentral:rRNA from 1 species
AGUGAACGCUGGCGGUAGGCCUAACACAUGCAAGUCGAACGGCAGCACAGUAAGAGCUUGCUCUUACGGGUGGCGAGUGGCGUACGGGUGAGGAAUACAUCGGAAUCUACUUUUUCGUGGGGGAUAACGUAGGGAAACUUACGCUAAUACCGCAUACGACCUACGGGGGAAAGCAGGGGAUCUUCGGACCUUGCGCGAUUGAAUGAGCCGAUGUCGGAUUAGCUAGUUGGCGGGGUAAAGGCCCACCAAGGCGACGAUCCGUAGCUGGUCUGAGAGGAUGAUCAGCCACACUGGAACUGAGACACGGUCCAGACUCCUACGGGAGGCAGCAGUGGGGAAUAUUGGACAAUGGGCGCAAGCCUGAUCCAGCCAUACCGCGUGGGUGAAGAAGGCCUUCGGGUUGUAAAGCCCUUUUGUUGGGAAAGAAAAGCAGCAGGUUAAUACCCCGCUGUUCUGACGGUACCCAAAGAAUAAGCACCGGCUAACUUCGUG